rnacentral:rRNA from 1 species
UACGGAGGGGGCUAGCGUUGUUCGGAAUUACUGGGCGUAAAGCGCACGUAGGCGGUUGUCUAAGUCAGAGGUGAAAGCCCGGAGCUCAACUCCGGAAUUGCCUUUGAGACUGGAUCACUUGAACGUCGGAGAGGUGAGUGGAAUUCCGAGUGUAGAGGUGAAAUUCGUAGAUAUUCGGAGGAACACCAGUUGCGAAGGCGGCUCUCUGGACUGUAACUGACACUGAGGCACGAAAGCGUGGGGAGCAAACAGG